UACGAAUCGUCCAAACGUUGUUCGGAUUUACUGGGCUUAAAGGGCGCGUAGGCGGUGCGCUAAGUCGGUGGUGAAAUACUUCGGCUCAACCGGAGAAUUGCCGCUGAAACUGGCGUGCUCGAGGGAGGUAGAGGUGCGUGGAACUUCCGGUGGAGCGGUGAAAUGCGUUGAUAUCGGAAGGAACACCUGUGGCGAAAGCGAUGCACUGGACCUCUUCUGACGCUGAGGCGCGAAAGCCAGGGGAGCAAACGGG
rnacentral:rRNA from 1 species